CUCACUGAGGCCUGACAAGAUGAUCUGCUCGGCACAGCUCCUCUGGGUCCUGCUGCUGUGGGCUCCCGCCUCCCUGGGUGAAGUUGUUCUGACUCAGACUCCAGAAACCCUGGCUGCAUCCCCUGGAGACACAGUCACCAUCAAGUGCAAGGCCAGUACCAGCAUUAGCAACUACAUAGGCUGGUACCUCCAGAAAUCAGGACAAGCCCCAAAGCUCCUUAUCUAUGACUCUACCAGCCGUGUCUCUGGGAUCCCCAACAGGUUCAGCGGCAGUGGGUCUGGCACUGAUUUCACUCUCACCAUCAGCAGGGUUGAACCCGAGGAUGCUGGAGAUUAUUACUGUCAGCAGCGUGCGAGCUCCCCCAUCACAGUGCUACAGACCCAUACAAAAACCUCCUGGUUAUGCAGCCUGGUCUCUGUGCUUGGUGUUGGUUGCAGCUGUGACCAGGGCGAGGGAGUUCAUGCAAACAAAGAGCAGGAAGUUAUGCAAACUACUCAGGAGCAAGCACCUCCAAGCCCCGGCACACAGAGAGACUGA